rnacentral:lncRNA from 1 species
AUGUAUAUUAAAUCAUAUGGUUUAAUGAUUUAACUAUAUACCAAUUUGAUUAAAAAUAAAUUGUGUACAUUUGUGCACAUCAAUGUACUCAUCUAGCUCCGUCCAUGCUUACAACACUCUAUUCUGCAAUUAGUUAUGUUUAGCCAUUAACCCCUUUGCUCGAUCUGCUAUGCUAAUCCACUUUAUUGAUUUGACACAAGAGGAGCCAAAGGAUAUUUAUGAGCCUUAGCAGUUGAGUUGUUAAUUCAACCGCACCUAAAAAUAUAUCUUUCUGGAGCAAAGUGUUUAGCACCAAAGUAGUUUAAUAGUUUUGAUAGUAAGAAUAGUAGUUUUGUAGUGAUCGUAACAGUAGCGGCGACAACAGUAACUUAGCAAACACAAUAUGAGCGAAGCGUAGACAUUGGAACAAUGAUGGAUAAUUGUAUGAAUGGCAUUUAUCAUGUAAUACUCACUACCUAGAGCAACACAGAACUAUCUCCAAUUCAUCAAUUCAAUGUAGGCAUGCAUUUCGUUUAUAGUUAUAUGUGCUUAUAAUAAGAACUUGCAUAACAUCUUUGGUCCAACUCUCCCGUGGCAGCGGGCUCCUAAUGGAAAUAUAAGGGUAUUUUGUUGGAAAUAUGCCCUAGAGGCAAUAAUAAAUUGGUUAUUAUCAUAUUUUCUUUUUCAUGAUAAUUGUUUAUUGUCCAUGCUAUAAUUGUAUUGAUUGCAC